ACGUACUCGGCAACCAAUCGGUUACUCUCUCAACAGUGGUUUCGCUUUCACUGAUUGAUCUACCGGAACGACAUCUGAAACACUCGGAUUACUCGGAUAUCCUCAAGCGUCAUGGCUCGACUCUCGCAAUCAACUACUCAUAUUGCUUUGAGAGUCGGUCCGCCAAUUCCAUCUCUACCACGAGUCCCACUUCUCAUCCAUAAGCCAUCACCAGCAAUUUGCUAGUGCCAUCAUACUCUCUACCUGCUCCAACAG
rnacentral:lncRNA from 1 species